CCUACGGGAGGCAGCAGUGGGGAAUAUUGCACAAUGGGGGAAACCCUGAUGCAGCAACGCCGCGUGAGUGAGGAAGUAUUUCGGUAUGUAAAGCUCUUUGAUCAGGGACGAACAGAUGACGGUACCUGAAGAACAAGCCCCGGCUAACUACGUGCCAGCAGCCGCGGUAAAACGUAGGGGGCGAGCGUUGUCCGGAAUGACUGGGCGUAAAGGGUGCGUAGGCGGCAUAAUAAGUUAGAAGUGAAAUACCCAGAGCUUAACUCGGGUGCUGCUUCUAAGACUGUUGAGCUUGAGUGCGGGAGAGGUUAAUGGAAUUCCUAGUGUAGCGGUGGAAUGCGUAGAUAUUAGGAGGAACACCAGAGGCGAAGGCGAUUAACUGGACCGUAACUGACGCUGAGGCACGAAAGUGUGGGUAGCAAACAGGAUUAGAUACCCCUGUAGUC
rnacentral:rRNA from 1 species